GGGAGGCAGCAGUAGGGAAUGUUGCACAAUGGGGGAAACCCUGAUGCAGCAACGCCGCGUGAGCGAUGAAGGCCUUCGGGUUGUAAAGCUCUGUCUUUGCUGACGAAUAAUGACGGUAAGCAAGGAGGAAGCCACGGCUAACUACGUGCCAGCAGCCGCGGUAAUACGUAGGUGGCAAGCGUUGUCCGGAAUUACUGGGCGUAAAGAAUGCGUAGGCGGCUUUUUAAGUGGGAUGUGAAAUCCCUGGGCUCAACCCAGGAACUGCAUUCCAAACUGGAAGGCUAGAGUGUGGGAGAGGAAAAUGGUAUUCCCAGUGUAGCGGUGAAAUGCGUAGAGAUUGGGAGGAACACCAGUAGCGAAGGCGAUUUUCUGGAACAUAACUGACGCUGAGGCAUGAAAGCGUGGGGAGCAAACAGGAUUAGAUACCCUAGUAGUC
rnacentral:rRNA from 1 species